rnacentral:sRNA from 12 species
AAGAAGAGAAAACAAAAUGAACGAAGUUCAUUUUCUAUAAAUGUUUCUGACGAAUAGCCGCCAACCAAAUGGAGGGGAAAUGCAUAUA